AGAGGCCGGACCUGGGCAACCCCAGCCUGGAGGUGCCGGGGCCGGAGCUCCCAGAGGGCUGGGUGCGAGGCCUAGGCGGGGUCAGGUUCGGGUUCCUAGGCCAUAGCGGAGCUGCAGCCCAGGCGGCCGGAGCGGAACCCAGCCCCGCUCCGAGUGCCACGUCUCCAGGAACCCCCUCCUUACUCUUGGACAACACUCCGCCCCCGCCCGGGCCUCCGUCCCCCAAACCGCCCUCAUUUGUGCAGCGCCAGAUCCUUCGGACACAUCCCUAGGUGUCUCCAUCCUCAUUCGGUCCAUCCAACUCCCAGACCUCACGUCAACCGGCUGCACCCCACUUUCCAGCCUGCGCCCCAGAUCUGCAGCCUUCGCCCCUAGAUACACCCGCCUGGUGAUGAGGCGCUCCUCGCGUUCCUUCCGGGCUCCAGGUGUCCGUGAGCCUCCCUUCCGCCCUGGCCUCCGGUCUCUGCCUUGCUCGUGCUUCUACCACCACCCUUCCCCUCCCAACCCGGUGGAUCCUCUCGUCUCCCCCAGUCUCCAGUGCACCGGCUUUCCCUCGUCCUCUGCGCAGUCCAUCUCAGCUCAUCUCUCCAAUUCAAUGCCAUCAUCUCUCCUCACCAUCUCUCGGUGCCCUGGAAUGUUUGCUGUCAGAUGUCCCCUGUGAAACCCACAAACGCUUGCGAUUUGGCCUCCUUGUUUUAUUUUGUGUAGUCCUACAACGUCUUGUUACUACCCCCUAUUACAACACUUAUAACUCAGUAUUUGUCUUUUUUCCGCGGUGUCCCUGCACUCUCCCCAUACAUAUUCCUCUCCUGCCAGAUUGUAAGCCUCUAGAGGGAAGAAGUAAUGUCUCUCUCCUUGGCACCAGGCACGUGGCACACGCUCCACAAAUAUUUGUUGAAAGGGAGGGUAAAUGGCCUUGAGUUUCUGUGGCUACCAUUGGCUGAGGAUGGAGCUUUGGGCUGGACAAAGAAGAAUCUGGUUGACCACAUGAAGCAGGAAGGAGGCUCAGAACGGUGUUGAGGGAGCCUCCACAAUGGGUGGGCACCACAGUGGCACCACCAGCACCCCUAAUUUGGGUCUCUGGGCUGAGGGGCCCCUGGCAGCAUGCUCAAUGGCCUUGGAUAGCUGGAAUGUUUGGAAUUGCCUGCAUCUUGGAUGAAAGUCUUAACAAUAGAAUGAAAACUGCUGCAACACUGUGUCAGCACUUUACAGACCACCACUGUAAAUUCCCAGUUGAAACUGGGAAUUUGGAAUUCCAUGUUCAACCAAAUCAUGCUGAGUGCCCAGCACAGCGUCUGACACACUAAAUGCUACAGGUGAAUUCCCUUUUUCCUCUUUCCUGGCAGGAAGCGGGGAUAGGGGAACCACUAGAAAUACUGUAAUAACAUGAAUAAGACAAGGCCAUUAGCCGGGAGCAAAUCAUAGAACAUCAGCCCUGUGAAAUGAGUGGUAUUAGUGUUACCAUUUUUCAGAUGGAGAAAUUGAGACUCAGAAAGGUUAAUUAGCCAAAAAUCACACAGACAGUAAUAGCAGAGCUAGGAAAAGAAUGUUCAUCCUAGUACCUAACUUUGAUCUUCCCAAAACACCAAACUGACUUCUAAAGCUGAAGAAAGAGGACACAGAAGCUUCAUCUCAGAUCUCACCACCAGCUGCCCCUUAAUCUGCCAACAUCGAACCAUUCUCUCCCCUCUAGACUACAGUGGCUUCAAACUUUGACUUAUCUCCAGUAUUUUUUUGUACAUAGCAAUAGCAACAAAAGUUUCACAAAACAAUAUUACCUUUGUAUGGCCAGGCACGGUGGCUCAUGCCUGUAAUCCCAACAUUUUGGGAGGCCAAGGCGGGCAGAUCAUGAGGUCAGGAGAUCAAGACCAUCCUGGCCAACAUGGUGAAACCCCGUCUCUACUAAAAAUACAAAAAUUAGCCUGGUGUGGUGGCGUGUGCCUGUAGUCCCAGUUACCCAGGAGGCUGAGGCAGGAGAAUUGCUUGAACCCAGGAGGCAGAGCUGCAGUGAGCUGAGAUCGCACCACUGCAUUCCAACCUGGGCGACAGAGCAAGACUCCGUCUCCAAAAGAAAAAAAAUAGCCACGUGUGGUGGCACACACCUGUGGUUCUAGCUACUUGGGAGGCUGAGGUGGGAGGAUCCCUUGAGCCCAGGAGUUUGAGGCUGCAGUGAGCUAUGAUUGUGCCACUGCACUCCAGCCUGGGUGACAAAGCAAGACCCUGUCUCUAAAAAGUAACAAUAAUCGGCCGGCACGGUGGCUCAUGCCUGUAAUCCCAGCACUUUGGGAGGCCGAGGCAGGCAGAUCACAAGAUCAGGAGAUUGAGACCAUCCUGGCUCACACAGUGAAACCCCGUCUCUACUAAAAAUACAAAAAAUUAGCCAGCCAUGGUGGCCAGUGCCUGUAGUCCCACCUGCUGCGGAGGCUGAGGCAGGAGAAUGGCAUGAACCCGGGAGGCGAAUCUCGCAGUGAGCCGAGAUUGCGCCACUGCACUCCAGCCUGGGUGACAGAGAGAGACUCUGUCUCAAAAAUAAAAUAAAAUAAUUUAAAAAAAAACAAUAAUCUUAAUUUCAGUCACUCCCUCUAUAUUCCCCAUGAACAAUGGAAUUUUCCCAGAAUAUCGUCUACAUCAUAUACAAAAUCAAUAAUUAUAUCUUUUCUCUUCCAUUUAUUUUUCAC
rnacentral:lncRNA from 1 species